UCAUGGCUCAGGAUGAACGCUGGCGGCGUGCCUAAUACAUGCAAGUCGAACGCUUUGUGGUUCAACUGAUUUGAAGAGCUUGCUCAGAUAUGACGAUGGACAUUGCAAAGAGUGGCGAACGGGUGAGUAACACGUGGGAAACCUACCUCUUAGCAGGGGAUAACAUUUGGAAACAGAUGCUAAUACCGUAUAACAAUGACAACCGCAUGGUUGUUAUUUAAAAGAUGGUUCUGCUAUCACUAAGAGAUGGUCCCGCGGUGCAUUAGCUAGUUGGUAAGGUAAUGGCUUACCAAGGCGAUGAUGCAUAGCCGAGUUGAGAGACUGAUCGGCCACAAUGGGACUGAGACACGGCCCAUACUCCUACGGGAGGCAGCAGUAGGGAAUCUUCCACAAUGGGCGAAAGCCUGAUGGAGCAACGCCGCGUGUGUGAUGAAGGGUUUCGGCUCGUAAAACACUGUUGUAAGAGAAGAAUGACAUUGAGAGUAACUGUUCAAUGUGUGACGGUAUCUUACCAGAAAGGAACGGCUAAAUACGUGCCAGCAGCCGCGGUAAUACGUAUGUUCCAAGCGUUAUCCGGAUUUAUUGGGCGUAAAGCGAGCGCAGACGGUUAUUUAAGUCUGAAGUGAAAGCCCUCAGCUCAACUGAGGAAUUGCUUUGGAAACUGGAUGACUUGAGUGCAGUAGAGGAAAGUGGAACUCCAUGUGUAGCGGUGAAAUGCGUAGAUAUAUGGAAGAACACCAGUGGCGAAGGCGGCUUUCUGGACUGUAACUGACGUUGAGGCUCGAAAGUGUGGGUAGCAAACAGGAUUAGAUACCCUGGUAGUCC
rnacentral:rRNA from 1 species